UACGUGGGGGGCAAGCGUUAUCCGGAUUUACUGGGUGUAAAGGGAGCGUAGACGGAAUUGCAAGUCUGAUGUGAAAAUCCGGGGCCCAACCCCGGAACUGCAUUGGAAACUGUAUUUCUAGAGUGUCGGAGAGGCAAGUGGAAUUCCUGGUGUAGCGGUGAAAUGCGUAGAUAUCAGGAGGAACACCAGUGGCGAAGGCGGCUUGCUGGACGAUGACUGACGUUGAGGCUCGAAAGCGUGGGGAGCAAACCGG
rnacentral:rRNA from 1 species